rnacentral:snRNA from 1 species
UUGCUUUGGCAGCAUAUCUACUAAAAUUGGAAUGAUACAGAGAUUAGCAUGUCCCCUGUGCAAAGAUGACACACAAAUUCAUGAGAUGUUCCAUAUGUUU